GAAGGAGGGAGAACGCCGCGGUUCCGCCUUAGUGCGCGUGCGCAUUUGUGGGGCGGCCCCUCUGUGGGUGUAUAACACCGAGGCAGAGAGGGCGGUUACUGGGAUAAGCGGGUUCGAAUCCCGCCUCUUCAGUGGCCUAGGCUGGGUUCAGUGGGGGUGGGGCGGAGGGGAGGAAUUUCAAGGUCCUGGGCCGAUAAAUGAGAACACAGGAAUGCAUUGAAACUGGCGUGAGCGCUGGAGGCUUCCCGCUUUGUGAUGGGAGGCAGAUGAAAUCACACAUGGAAAGGACCCAGGUCCGGUUGGACCUUGAAGCACGGCCGAGAGCACCCCAAGCACAGGGAAAGGUUUAGACGGUCUCGCAUUCAGAGAUCCCCCGGGGUGGAAGGUGAGGCAGCACCGAUGGGCAGCUCAGAUUCUGAAGGGAUUUCGGGGCAGGGUCUGUUGGGAGAUGGGGACUGUGGGGAACCUUGGCGGCCGCAGCAGAGCAGGAGCCCAGGACUAAAGGUCGAAUAUUCAAGACUAGCCCGUGGCAGAAGCCCGUGCGCGCGGCCCGCGGAGAGCGCAUGCGCAGCGUCUCAGCGCGGGCGGGAGGUUACCGGGGAGGAAAGUUCGCUCCAGAGGAGAAUGCAGAAAAUGAGUCCGAAAGAGAAGAUCCUUACAGAAGUCCACUAGCCAGGAAGCAGCAGGGCCUGGAUUCAAAUGCAAGCCUGUCUCACCACAGAGAAAGCCCACAUUUUUCCCCCUGACAACCGGCAGCCUGCCUAGUGAUAGGCAGAGCAGAAGAGAAAGAGUAGCAUCAUCUCCAAGGCCAUCUCCUAGUCCUUUGGCCACAAGAGGUGCUAUCUACAGGCACCAUUUCUCCAGGAUGUUUUUCUGCCCGAGUCCCAGCUGCCUCACCAGCUA